CGACUGAUAUUCACUUGCAGAAAGGCAUACGUAAUGGACGCAUCUAUAAAUAUUAUUUUCAGCAAGCUUUCACAACUGUUACAGCUAAAGAGGAUUGUUUACGAAUUUCAAAUAAUCUCUGGGAAAUUGAAAUUUAUUUACUAUCGCUAAUUUUUCAGCAAUUGGUGCAGCAUGCGGAUAUUCGAGAUAUUGUUGCUCCUAUCUGGAUUGUAACAUUGAAAACAACCAAGAGAAUGGCACCUGCGAGUGCAUCGGAUCACAAAUUCCAACAGGAGAUCCAGAUGAGCCACGUGAUUAUCCACCAGACAAUGACAUUACGUGGAUAAUAGGACCAAUCACUGUAGGAUUAGUUAUUCUUAUGUUUAUAUUUUGUUGGUUGGCAUUCAGGAAACGCAGAAAGGCGAUUGCCGCUGCAGAGGAACAAUCACAAACUCCUGUGUCAGAGGCUGGUAUUUGCAAAAAUGUUGAGAUUCCGUCCGAUUUAAUGCCACAAUAUUUUCCUACUGCACCUUAUACAUUGGCUAACUACGAAGUAACCUGUGAACCUGGAGGUGACGAGGAGAGGGUUCACGACUUUGACGACCCACCUGCGUAUGAUAGUGUGGUAAACGACAGUGAUUAUAUAAAAGCUUGAAUUAUUCAGUCAUAGCCAUUCACAAAUUCCUUCGUAAAUUUAAAGCUUGCAAAUUUUUUAAAUUUUGUAGGUCUUUGAAUACUUAAAAUUUGACCAUAUUUAUGAAAUUUCAUACUUAAAAUGUUAUUCUAUAUAUCAUUGCAUGUAUAAACAUGGUCUAGAGACUUAUUUCAAAAAUCAUGUAAAUUUCCAUACAACAAUAUCCUGGAUCAAUUAAUAUUUAAGAAAUAAAUAUAUCUUUUAUAUCCCACGCUA